GGUAAGCAGGAUCCACCCGAGUAGCGGGGACCGAAUCCCAUCUUUCUUAUCUCUCGAAGACUCCUUUCAGGCUGAGAUCAGAGAGGGAGGGAAAAAGAAGAGAGAAUCAUUGUUCUUCUUUUUUUAAUUUAAUAUACCAAGCCACCAGCUCAGUUAGAAGGCUUCAUUUGCUCUGAGUUAUCAUUGAGAACUAAAUGGAGAAGAAAAGAACUGAAGGCCUGAAGAUAUGUCAUCUGUAGAAAAGCCCCAUCCUUCUGCAGGUGGCCUCUUCUCAAGCUUUCUUGGCAAAUCAAGAGCUUCUGCCUUUUGGAGGACAUCCUCUUGACCUCCCACCCAUAUCAGCUCUUAGAGGACAUUCCACAGGAACAUUGCCUUCUUGUCCUCCAGUAUUUUUUAUGGAAACAGAAAUUAGGUUAUCUUCCUUAUGCUCUAGAUGGACAUCUGAAAUCAUCAAACCCUUGAGAGAAACAGCCCUCAUUCUUUUAUGAGACAACCUGGAAGAAAACAGGACUCUGAAGAUUUGUCUCCAUAUUCUCUGGAAAGAUGUACUCUGUUUGCAAUAAGAGGGAGCCACAUGGUUUAUUAGAUGGUUAUUAAUUGAGCAUUCUGUGCAAAGAAGUUUGUGCCUUAGUUAUAUUGAAAAGAAGAAAAUCUCUCCAGUUUCAGAAACACUGGCCUUUUGGAUACUGAGGAGUUGGAAAUGGAAAGGGGAUUUUAAUGAGUUUCUCGGCAAUGAGGCUAGAGAAAAUAUUAUCCAUCUCCCCCUGUUCUCCAAUUCAGCAGCUCGGACUCCUGUUUUCAUCACAGUCCUGUUAGAUAAUUACAGCCCCAAAGGCCUCCUGUUCCUUCUUUCUGUGUUCCCUGAAUCUUCUUUCCCAGAGCCAGGACCUCUUGGAAAUUCUCAGCCUCUGUUAGUUGCCCGCUCUGGGAGCCCGACUCCUCACAUCCGUCAUCUCUUUCUUCUCCCCCUUCACCUGCUGUAGUGUCCCCACUGUCUCUCUUUACCUCAGCUCCUUACCAUUCCUUUCCCUCUACACCCUUUUCCUUUGGUUCAUAGUCAGGAUGUGCUAGUUGCAUUCAAGCCCUUUUUGAUACUAAGAAUUCAGGGGGACAAAUCCAAACCCUGGAGACUACUGUCUUCCCCUUAGUGAUGCUAAUGAAUAUAAUUCCUGAUCUGAAAUUACCUGCACUUUAUUUGGCUCCAUCUACUUUUCUGCCACUUACUCCCUGUAUAACCAUAGGCUACGUACCCUACCUCUCUCUGGGUUUGUUUACUCCUCAGUUAAAAGGAGGAUUAAAAUGGCAAUCACAACACCUUGCUACAGAUAUGUUAGGAAGAUUAAAUGGGAUAACAUGCAGGGUGCCUAGCCUUCCUGGCAUAUAGUAAAUGCCUAUAAAAUAUAACAAGUGUCAUGUAUUAUUAUUAAAUUGUAUCUACCUGGUAGAAA
rnacentral:lncRNA from 1 species